UACGUAGGGACCGAGCGUUGUCCGGAAUCAUUGGGCGUAAAGAGCGUGUAGGCGGCUUGUUAAGUCUUGCGUGAAAUCUCGGGGCUCAACCCCGAGCGGUCGUGAGAAACUGGCAGGCUAGAGUGCGGGAGAGGAGAGUGGAAUUCCUGGUGUAGCGGUGAAAUGCGCAGAUAUCAGGAAGAACACCCGUGGCGAAGGCGGCUCUCUGGAACGCAACUGACGCUGAGACGCGAAGGCGUGGGGAGCGAACGGG
rnacentral:rRNA from 1 species